AUUGAACGCUGGCGGCAGGCCUAACACAUGCAAGUCGAGCGAGCGGCGGACGGGUGAGGAAUGUAUGGGGACUGCACGAUAGAGGGGGAUAACUACUGGAAACGGUGGCUAAUACCGCAUACUGUCGGAGUACCCAUAUUGGAUUAGCUAGUGGGUAAGGUAAUGGCUUACCUAGGCGACGAUCCCUAGCUGGUCUGAGAGGAUGAUCAGCCACACUGGGACUGAGACACGGCCCAGACUCCUACGGAGGCAGCAGUGGGGAAUAUUGCACAAUGGGCGAAAGCCUGAUGCAGCCAUGCCGCGUGUAUGAAGAAGGCCCUAGGGUUGUAAAGUACUGUCAGUAGGGAGGCGGUACCGACAGAAGAAGCACCGGCUAACUCCGUGCCAGCAGCCGCGGUAAUUC
rnacentral:rRNA from 1 species